rnacentral:rRNA from 1 species
AUACGGAGGAUCCGAGCGUUAUCCGGAUUUAUUGGGUUUAAAGGGUGCGCAGGCGGCCAUUUAAGUCAGCGGUUAAAUCGUGGGGCUCAACCCCAUUCUGCCGUUGAUACUGGGUGGCUUGAUUGCGGUCGAGGUUGGCGGAAUUCGUCGUGUAGCGGUGAAAUGCAUAGAUAUGACGAAGAACACCGAUUGCGUAGGCAGCUGACCAGACCGCAAAUGACGCUCAUGCACGAAAGUGCGGGGAUCGAACAGGAUUAGAUACCCUGGUAGUCCGCACAGUAAACGAUGAAUACUUGUUUUCGGCGAUAUAAUGUCGGAGGCAAAGCGAAAGCGAUAAGUAUUCCACCUGGGGAGUACGCCGGCAACGGUGAAACUUAAAGGAAUUGGCGGGG